CCUACGGGCGGCUGCAGUGAGGAAUAUUGGUCAAUGGACGAGAGUCUGAACCAGCCAAGUAGCGUGAAGGAUGACUGCUCUAUGGGUUGUAAACUUCUUUUAUACAGGAAUAAAACGAGGCACGUGUGCCUUUUUGCAUGUACUUUAUGAAUAAGGAUCGGCUAACUCCGUGCCAGCAGCCGCGGUAAUACGGAGGAUCCGAGCGUUAUCCGGAUUUAUUGGGUUUAAAGGGUGCGUAGAUGGGUUGUUAAGUUAGUGGUGAAAGUUUGCGGCUCAACCGUGAAAUUGCAAUUGAUACUGGCCGUCUUGAGUGCAGUUGAGGUAGGCGGAAUUCGUGGUGUAGCGGUGAAAUGCUUAGAUAUCACGAAGAACCCCGAUUGCGAAGGCAGCUUACUAAGCUGUGACUGACGUUGAGGCUCGAAAGUGUGGGUAGCAAACAGGAUUAGAUACCCCAGUAGUC
rnacentral:rRNA from 1 species